CCUACGGGAGGCAGCAGUGAGGAAUAUUGGUCAAUGGACGAGAGUCUGAACCAGCCAAGUAGCGUGAAGGAUGACUGCCCUAUGGGUUGUAAACUUCUUUUAUCUGGGAAUAAAAUGUUCAACGUGUGGGAUUUUGUAUGUACCAUAUGAAUAAGGAUCGGCUAACGCCGUGCCAGCAGCCGCGGUAAUACGGAGGAUCCGAGGGUUAUCCGGAUUUAUUGGGUUUAAAGGGUGCGUAGGUGGUUUGUUAAGUCAGGUGUGAAAGUUUGCGGCUCAACCGUAAAAUUGCAGUUGAAACUGGCAGUCUUGAGUACAGUAGAGGUGGGCGGAAUGCGUGGUGUAGCGGUGAAAUGCUUAGAUAUCACGAAGAACUCCGAUUGCGAAGGCAGUUCACUGGACUGCAACUGACACUGAGGCACGAAAGUGUGGGUAUCGAACAGGAUUAGAUACCCUUGUAGUC
rnacentral:rRNA from 1 species